CAGGAUGAACGCUGGCGGCGUGCCUAAUACAUGCAAGUAGAACGCUGAAGCUUGGUGCUUGCACCGAGCGGAUGAGUUGCGAACGGGUGAGUAACGCGUAGGUAACCUGCCUCUUAGCGGGGGAUAACUAUUGGAAACGAUAGCUAAUACCGCAUAAAAGUCGAUAUCGCAUGAUAUUGAUUUGAAAGGUGCAAUCGCAUCACUAAGAGAUGGACCUGCGUUGUAUUAGCUUGUUGGUGAGGUAACGGCUCACCAAGGCGACGAUACAUAGCCGACCUGAGAGGGUGAUCGGCCACACUGGGACUGAGACACGGCCCAGACUCCUACAGGAGGCAGCAGUAGGGAAUCUUCGGCAAUGGACGGAAGUCCGACCGAGCAACGCCGCGUGAGUGAAGAAGGUUUUCGGAUCGUAAAGCUCUGUUGUAAGAGAAGAACGAGUGUGAGAGUGGAAAGUUCACACUGUGACGGUAACUUACCAGAAAGGGACGGCUAACUACGUGCCAGCAGCCGCGGUAAUACGUAGGUCCCGAGCGUUAUCC
rnacentral:rRNA from 1 species